rnacentral:rRNA from 1 species
AAGAUGACGCACUGGACGAAGAUCGGAAGGUCUGAGUCCUGAGUGUUAGAUAAGAUAUAAGUCGUAACAUGGCUGCUGUUGGAGAACCAGCAGCAGGAUCAGUA